rnacentral:rRNA from 1 species
UACGUAGGGUGCGAGCGUUAAUCGGAAUUACUGGGCGUAAAGCGUGCGCAGGCGGUUCGUUGUGUCGGUGGUGAAAUCCCCGGGCUUAACCUGGGAAUGGCCAUGGAAACUGGCGAACUGGAGUGCGGCAGAGGGGGGUGGAAUUCCGCGUGUAGCAGUGAAAUGCGUAGAGAUGCGGAGGAACACCGAUGGCGAAGGCAGCCCCCUGGGCCAAUACUGACGCUCAGGCACGAAAGCGUGGGGAGCAAACAGG